UUUUUGAUAAAGUAGUUGUCCACAUUUUGGAAAGCGCUAAUAAAGUGUUAUUGCUUUGUCAAAAAUCCAGGAGUCAAGAUAUACCAGAAGUUCUUUUCACUUUUUAUACGUAUCUGUAGACGCGUGUCGAAUGCGCCGCGAGUGGGAAAAGACCUUUGUGUUCACCUUGGAGACCUGAUGCGGAUAUCGGUACGAUGCAGCACAGAUUAAUAGCCUUCCUUGGUUUUUCAAGGGCCGUCCAGAGAACACGAGACAUCACAGAAACCGCGAUGCUUUUCCACCGUUCCUAACUACUAUCUAGCGAAACCACAGCCAAGGGAAAGGGCUUGGCAAAAAUAGCGGGGAAAGAAGACCCUGUUGAGCUAGACCCUUGUGUGACCUACCACAGGUAGCACCCCCCUCCCUCCUCAUUUCUAAACUCUGCUAUUCACACAGCACAUUCUUUCCUUGCGUUUAACCCUUGAAUGUCUUGUUCAUCUUCUGAACUCUAUAAAAUGCUCUCUACGAUGUUGAAAUUUCCGAUUUUUUUAGCCAAUCCAUGCUCUACUAUAUGGACUUUUGUGAUAUCAACCCAGUCUUUUGACCAGAGAAGUGUCUCAAACUGACGAAGUGAUAACAAAUGCAGCCACCGCCAUUUUAUAGACGGUGGCUCAACGUGGAAAAGCUUCAGCAUCUACGAGCCAUCUUGUCAGCAGACCACCAGGAAAAAUAGCCCUUUAGCUGAUUCUCUCAGCCAGCUAGCUUCGCUAUGAUAUCUGUUUGGGUUCAACAACAUCUGAACUGGAGGAGUCUCCGUUCUUUAUUCCUAACAAUGAGAGCAACGCUUGGGGGACC
rnacentral:ncRNA from 1 species